rnacentral:rRNA from 1 species
UGGGUGAGUAACGCGUAGGAACCUGUCGCAGAGUGGGGGAUACCGCUGGGAAACCGGCGCUAAUACCGCAUGAGGUUCCCCGGUAAGCGCCGGGGAAAGAAAGCACGCGAGUGCGCUGUGUGAGGGGCCUGCGUCCGAUUAGCUGGUUGGUGGGGUAACGGCCUACCAAGGCGACGAUCGGUAGCUGGUCUGAGAGGACGAUCAGCCACACUGGGAUUGAGAACGGCCCAG